rnacentral:rRNA from 1 species
CCUCUUUCUAAUCAGUGAAACUGAUCUUCCCGUGAAGAAGCGGGAAUAAAUCUAUAAGACGAGAAGACCCCAUGGAGCUUUAAGCUGAUUUCACAUCUAUUUUGUAUAUCUUCUAAUUAAAUAGACCGCUGCCUGUUCAGCUUUAGGUUGGGGUGACCGCGGAAUAUAACAUAACUUCCAUGAUGUACAAAGCUUCUCUUAUCUAAGAAUAACUAUUCCAAGAAUUAGCAUUCUAACAUACAAUGACCCGAUAAUCGAUCAACGGACUAAGUUACCCUGGGGAUAACAGCGCAAUCCAUUUCAAGAGCCCCUAUCGACAAAUGG